rnacentral:rRNA from 1 species
CCUACGGGGGGCAGCAGUGAGGAAUAUUGGUCAAUGGACGAGAGUCUGAACCAGCCAAGUAGCGUGAAGGAUGACUGCCCUAUGGGUUGUAAACUUCUUUUAUAAAGGAAUAAAACGAGGCACGUGUGCCUUUUUGCAUGUACUUUAUGAAUAAGGAUCGGCUAACUCCGUGCCAGCAGCCGCGGUAAUACGGAGGAUCCGAGCGUUAUCCGGAUUUAUUGGGUUUAAAGGGAGCGUAGAUGGGUUGUUAAGUCAGUUGUGAAAGUUUGCGGCUCAACCGUAAAAUUGCAAUUGAUACUGGGAGUCUUGAGUACAGUUGAGGUAAGCGGAAUUCGUGGUGUAGCGGUGAAAUGCUUAGAUAUCACGAAGAACCCCGAUUGCGAAGGCAGCUUACUAAACUGUGACUGACAUUGAUGCUCGAAAGUGUGGGUAUCAAACAGGAUUAGAUACCCCAGUAGUC